GUUACUGACUGAGCUUUGUCAUUUAAACAGUGCUACUUACGUAAUUUAAAUAACAAUAAACAUUGAAAUAAACCCGCUGAAAGGCAUUCGUUAAGCGCUUCCGCGCUAGAACAGUGGAGAUGCUAACUAUUUAUACAGUGCACCGCUUGCAUUACACAGAUAAAAUACGCUGCCAAGUUCUUGGGGCAAAGAAGCGAAACGAAAGGCGAGAUUUAGUGUGGAAAUUUUGGAAGUAAGCCGGGACUGCGUUUGUGGUGGCUUACAUUAAUCAUGCGAUGGAAAAAUACCCCCGGCGACUUACGAUGGAGUUCCGUUAGACGUCCAUAUUUAGAACAAACAGAGGCUGUUCGGGAAUCCCGUGUAAUCCGACCACUUAUCACGGCUGCAAAAUGCAAAUUUCCCGGCCGGCACGCAGUAUUACGGGCCGGGAUACGUCAGGGAUAUUGUCAAAGUUCGCUACCGAGGGAUACACAGGUUAAUCUCAGGUCUAAACUUCACAAGAGGUAGACCGGCCUACUCUAUUCGCAAUUAACACGAAUGCAGUUUUUGAUGCAAAUUGGAAGACAUAAGCCCACAAGCGCUGAUAAUAAAAGUUCUAAAAGCAGAGUUCAUCAAACACAAGAUUCUACGCAGAAGACCUUCAAUAUUCAGCAUACUGCGACUACCGAAACGCAGAAGUGACGUAUGGAGCGAAUUCCAUAUGGUACUUACACACGCAAUGCUGUUAUAAAGACAUAAACAUCGGGACCAAGAGCUACCUAUCAAAACGCACAUUAAAUUAGGUCGGUGGGUAAUAGAAUCGAAAUAAUAGUGUUACCCUCAGCGGUAAGCAUAGCACCUUUUCAACAUAAAUUACUGCGAAAUAAAACACAAGCGAAUAUAAUGUUUAUUGUUCUAAUAGUCACACAAUGACAAUAACAAAAUACAAAAGUUAUACUAUUCACUAUUUCAUUUUUAAACACACUUACGACAAUAAUAAAUUAUGAGGACCGUUUUCACUGAGCGGUGGGAAAUUGAACAACUGCUCCAUAUUACUAAAUCUAGAACAUUUUGUUCUGUUUAUCACCUUUAGUCUAGACACUAAACUAACAAUGCUGGGUUAGUCUUUUCGGCCUUAUAUUAGCACUU